GACGAACGCUGGCGGCGUGCUUAACACAUGCAAGUCGAACGGAAAGGCCCUGCUUUUGUGGGGUGCUCGAGUGGCGAACGGGUGAGUAACACGUGAGUAACCUGCCCUUGACUUUGGGAUAACUUCAGGAAACUGGGGCUAAUACCGGAUAGGAGCUCCUGCUGCAUGGUGGGGGUUGGAAAGUUUCGGCGGUUGGGGAUGGACUCGCGGCUUAUCAGCUUGUUUGUGGGGUAGUGGCUUACCAAGGCUUUGACGGGUAGCCGGCCUGAGAGGGUGACCGGCAACAUUGGGACUGAGAUACGGCCCAGACUCGUACGGGAGGCAGCAGUGGGGAAUAUUGCACAAUGGGCGGAAGCCUGAUGCAGAAACGCCGCGUGCGGGAUGACGGCCUUCGGGUUGUAAACCGAUUUCGACUGUGACGAAGCGUGAGUGACGGUAAUGGGUAAAGAAGCACCGGCUAACUACGUG
rnacentral:rRNA from 1 species